AAGAUUUUCGUCGUCGAAAUACUUCCCGUACAUGCUGAUCGCACCAUGGCCAUCACCGGACACAACAUCACCACCUGGAAGCGUAUUGUUCAUUUUGAUACCGACAUUAUGAGUGAUGGAUCUACUGUGUGCUGCGCCAGAGGAUUCCCAUCAUUCAGCAGGUUAGUAAUCAUGUUCUUAAGACCAAACAAAAUGAUUGCCCAGCAGAGGGAAAGAGAAACGCUCGAUGCGUUUCGCCACCAGCUAAAGGUAAAGUUUCUGCUUUUCUUUCAGUUUUCAACAACCCCUCCACCCCCUCAUGUUUGAUUACAACACAUAGUGAAUGUGUGCCACCGUCCCUUCAUUCACAGUCGCGACAUUAUUAUUCCAUUUCAGGUUUUAUUUUUGUGGGUUCGAAUUUUAUUUAUCUCGUUUUCGAAUAGAGUUUAUAUGUACAACGAGUGGGGUUCUUUUUCAUUAUCAUACGAAUGUACUUACACGUAUCGCAAAACAAAAAAUUAGGGAAAAAUAAUUAUAACGAGAGUACAAAAGGAUACAUAGUGAUCUUGCGUGACAGAGUAAAACAAUCACACUACACAACAGCGAGACACCUUGUUGCGGUGUGGUGUGAGCAGCAAUGGUUGUUACCAACAGGCCACACCGAACGGUUCAGUUGCUCUCCACUGAAUCGUGUAACUCUCUUUCUACAAGCUUUAGUCUUCUAAAUAUUACAUAUUAUCUGAAUAUUAUUAACGCUACGAUCAAAUCGGUCUUCCCCUGUCGAUGCCCGUUACGUGCAUUAGUUAGUUAGUGUAUGUAUGUUUGCUUGUUUGUUUGUUUGUUUUUACAUUCUUUUUCAUGCACAGCAACUCACAACACCUCACAUUAGAGCAUCUCAUAUCUUUUGCAACGAUAAGCACAUACUAACACGUAUGCGCUAGUAAUGCAUCCCUAUACCUAACCACGAAUCAUUUGCAAUGUAUAUAUUAUGUUAUUAUGUUGCUCUGAACGUGUUUCUUUUUCUUGGUUGUGUGUGUGUGUGUUUCUGUUCUGUGUGUCUUUGUUUUUUGUGUUUUGUUUUGUUUUGUUUUUUUUGUUUGUUUUUGUUAACUGCAUCUGAUCGUACCGCGCGUUUCUAUUGUGUUCAAGUUUAUACAACACAGCUAUCUUAAACCCAUACACACAUUUUGUGUGAACACUCACGAUCGUGUGAAAGAUGCAGUAAAACAGAGAUGAACACACUAACUA